ensembl:lncRNA
CAAGAAGUGUGCUCUUCCAGAACUCUUUUUGAACAAGUAUAAAGGCAUCGUAGGUACCUGGAGGUUUCUUUGAAAUGUGGACUACUUAAAAUACAUAUACCGAAAGGCUGCUGUCAGGUCUUCCCAGAGCCUUCUCUUUUUCCAGGCUGAACAACCCCAGCUCUCUCAGUCUGUCCUUGUACGAGAAUUGUUCCAUCCCUUGGGUCAUUUUUGCAGUCUUCGUCUGGAAGCGUUCCAACAGAUCCACAUUUCUCCUGUACUGAGGACUCCACAGCUGACAUGGUAGUUCAGCUAGAGACAAGGAAAAUGGCAUACAUCCCAAGCAGUGAUGGGAGAAUCUCUGAAGAAACCUUUAUGAAGUCACGAUGCCAGAUCCCAAACUAGGACGUAAACAGAUGUGUGGAGAUGGCCUCAUUUAAUGGAUGGGCUGUGUAUGACCUGUCAGGCUUCACGCACCAGCUGUGAGACAUGCAUGCUGAACUCUCAUCUCCUCCUCCUACACGUCAGACAGUGACGGAGUAAUGGGUGCUGUUGCAGCGCAGAUCAGAUCAGCACAAUUCGCUCCAACUCACUCUUGCAGGUUCCCAAAAUUACAAGCCCAGCACUGCCUGGUGCUUUGAGAAAAACUCAGCGAGAAACUGAGUAUGAAGCCAGCUCAUGCUACGGCAGUCUUGCUCACCAAGCA